GGUUUGAUAUUCUACAAUGCUAGCUGAUAUAAAGAGGUUUGAUAUUCUACAAUGCUGGUUGAUAUAAAGAGGUUUGAUAUUCUACAAUGCUGGUUGAUAUAAAGAGGUUUGAUAUUCUACAAUGCUGGUUGAUAUAAAGAGGUUUGAUAUUCUACAAUGCUAGCUGAUAUAAAGAGGUUUGAUAUUCUACAAUGCUGGUUGAUAUAAAGAGGUUUGAUAUUCUACAAUGCUGGUUGAUAUAAAGAGGUUUGAUAUUCUACAAUGCUGGUUGAUAUAAAGAGGUUUGAUAUUCUACAAUGCUGGUUGAUAUAAAGAGGUUUGAUAUUCUACAAUGCUGGUUGAUAUAAAGAGGUUUGAUAUUCUACAAUGCUGGUUGAUAUAAAGAGGUUUGAUACCCUACAAUGCUGGUUGAUAUAAAGAGGUUUGAUAUUCUACAAUGCUAGUUGAUAUAGAGGUUUGAUAUUCUACAAUGCUAGUUGAUAUAAAGAGGUUUGAUAUUCUACAAUGCUAGUUGAUAUAAAGAGGUUUGAUAUUCUACAAUGCUAGUUGUUACACUGUGCGAAUGAGGUGGUGUAUAGCACAUGUACCGUGAUCUCUCAGCAUUGCCUUGUGAAUUAUUGAUUGUGAAAUUCGGCUAGUGCCUUCAUCAGUGUAAUGCAAUUUGUGAAGAAACUUGGUUAGGGCAUUCUUGAACUCCAGCUGCUGUGGUAAAGAAUGUCACAGCUGCGUGUGUUGUUGGAGGCGGAGGAGGGGAGGGGCUAGGUUGGGCUUAGUUUUUUUUUUUUUUUUAUAUA